AAUUGUUUAAUCUUACCUACCGGCAGCUCUGUCACUGGAAUGCUACGAGUGUACAAAUGCACUUGGAUUUUCUGGCGUGACAACAUGCGACAGUGAAAAUGUGACGAAGAGAACGUGCAGUGGGAUAUCAGACAGCUGCAUGACAAUGGCCUACAAUUCGACAUUUUUGAUCUUCCAAUCCGUGGUGACAAAGAACUGUACCAGCAGCCUUGCGUGUAACCCACAGUUCGAAUUCAACUGGUGCAAGACGUUUGAAAGCAUCGGCCUGGCCUCCAACUGCUCGACAGAUUGUUGUCAAGGUGACCUGUGUAAUGGCCCGUCGAAUCCAACUUCGAGUCCAAAUGACGGAUCGCCAACCAGUGUCGCAUCGCCAACCAGUGCAGUCUUGAAACUAUCUGCCAACAUUGGCGCCAUUUUUUCGGCCUUAGCUCUAACUAUGUUUGUAGGUUAAGGCGAGCAUUAAACCGAUUUUCUUUUAA